CAAAACUUUGAUUUCUGAUUUCUUGUUUUUGCUCACAAUAUAUAUUGAGUUGUAUAACCCUUAUACAACUCUUAAAGCAGAAUUGUUGCAAGCCAUCACUAAUCUUUAGUCAGAUCCCGGGCUUCAGACACAAGGUGUGUCACUUAUCAAAUCCAAGCGGCCAAUACGCCACAGUGCACUUUGGAUUAAUUUGGAAGUGCUGAUCUCCCACUCCUUGCACACCUACAGAGAAUUCCAGCUGACAUCGGAAGAUACAUGCAUUAGGAUUUCAUCCUGCCCUGACUCAUGCCAGCAACAACCUACCAUCAGCUAAAAGUGUGACCUUUCUCUGGGAGGGCUCCUCAGCCUGACAAGAGCUUUGACAUGAUAAAUGUUGGAGAGCUGCUGCUGCUAUCAAAACUGACCAGCAGGACCACAACUGGAGAGAAAAAGAGGCAGAAGAUCAGGAUAAAAGUAGUAAAUACUUACAGAAGGAUCCAUUGCUGUUUAUGUCACCACAUUACUGCUCACAACACAAAAGAGCAGCAGCUUUUCCAGUCAUCACCUAAAGCUGUGGUGGAUACAUUUUGUAAGUAAGCAGGACAAAAUCUCAUGUACAGCCAAGUAUAGCACCCUGAAAGAAGAGGACAAAUAAUGACAAUUCUCAUGACAAGGAGACAUCACUGGCAGGAAGAAAUGUGCAAUCAUGUUACUUUCCAGCUGGUCUCUUCAGACCAUGAUGCUCCUGGAUUUUCUCUUGUGUACAAGGUGACAUUGAGUUCUCUGAUCUAAUUGCUCAACUUAAGUAAAAAAGCUGAUGGAGUAUUUCAGCUUUUCUGUUAUCCAGCUUGUUACUGAAGCAUUUCAAUAUGCCUCUAUAACUGUAUGUUAUUUGUGCUAUUCCUGUUUAUUGUUUACCCCCCAGAUGUAACUGUUACUCUGAUAAAACUGUUCUGUAACUACA